rnacentral:tRNA from 1 species
GAAUAAAACUAAAUAUUUUUAGUAUUUAAUUUCGACUUAAAUUUAUAAUUAUUAAAAUAAUUUAUUCA